rnacentral:lncRNA from 1 species
CUUUGGGUCCGCUGGAGGACUUCCUGCAUGUGGGACCGCUGGAUCUGCUUGGGUGCUGUCGGGAGUGACUUGGGCACAAGGGCGAGGUCUCAGUCCCUCCUCCAGCCCCUCCCUCCCACUGCCAGGUCCCGGGAAGGAGGCGGUGCUGCGGAUCAGUGGGUUUCGCAGCUCCCAGCCCUGCUCCUGAGGUCAGGAACUCAACUCGACUUCCUGAAUCUGACUGGCUGACUCCCGCCACUCCCCAGCCCAGCCCACGCCUUAAACUAGGGCGCACACACCACAGUCACAGCCCAGUCCCCUUCCUCCGGGGCUCCCCGCCAGAACCCCCACUCCGCCCCGCGGUGACGUACUUUUGCUCCCAGCACUCCUCCUUCAGGACGCCUGCCGAGCUCUCCUAGAGCUGAGAGUCAGCUCUGCUCACAGAUACACCAGUGUUCUCAGGGACUCCAACAGCCCGGUGCUGCCAAAAGGGGCCACCAUCCAGGAAAGGGGAUGGAACAUCUUAAGGGAUAAGCAGGCUAUGAUGCCUCAUCCCGACUAGGUAUCCUGGAAAUCACAGAAACUUCUGAGACAGAACGGAAAGGGUCCCCUACUCCACCACCAAAGCUUGCUUCUUGGACAUAAGCCAUUUUUACAGGACCUGUCUGCAGAAAACCAGGUCCAGGAAGUUUGAGAUUCCCACAAAGAAGCCAAAGAGACUUUCCUGCAACCAUCAUAUGUGCAAAGCCUGGCUUACUCUGACCAUUACAUGUCCUUCCUAGGGUGCUGUAAAUGAGACCUUUGUCACCUCUCUGCAAGCCAAGUGCAAACAGACUCAAUGUGCAUGAUGAGCCAAUCAUUGCACCAAGUACAGGCCUCUCUGCAGAGAGUAAGGAUCUGAUGAGAGGUUUUCAAAAAUCCUGAACUGUGUGUAUCACAUAUAUAUCUGGAUAAGAGAACUCGUAUCCAUGUCUUCCGGUGCUCAAAUUUAAGUGCACCAAACCCUGCUUUGAUUGGUAUUGCUUGGCUCUUCGUGAAUUCUGUCUGAGAUUAAGCAAAAAUUAAUCCUGGGAUGAUUGACAACAUUAUUGGUGAUACAGAUGAGAUCCUUUGUUUAGAAGGUCUCAAAGGGCUGACAGCAGGGAUGAUUGGCACAGACUUGCCUUGUUAUCACAAAGUGCCUAGUUAAACCUCUGCUUUAGUGUCACCACAACUGUUAGGUUCAGCUCUGGCCAUUUCCUGCUGUGCAGUUCUUCCCACAGUGCUCUCUUCUGUUUCCCCUACCUUUGAUUCUGUAGCCAUUUUUUUAAUCCCCUUCAUUUUAUUUAAUAUUGCUC